UAAUACAGAGGGUGCAAGCGUUGUUCGGAAUCAUUGGGCGUAAAGCGCGAGUAGGCGGCCCACUAAGUCUGAUGUGAAAGCCCGGGGCUCAACCCCGGAAGUGCAUUGGAUACUGGAGGGCUAGAGGGUGAAAGAGGAGAGUGGAAUUCAUGGUGUAGGGGUGAAAUCCGUAGAUAUCAUGAGGAACAUCAGUGGCGAAGGCGGCUCUCUGGUUCAUUUCUGACGCUCAGACGCGAAAGCAUGGGGAGCAAACAGGAUUAGAUACCCUGGUAGUCCAUGCCCUAAACGAUGAAUACUAGUUAUUGGGAUACCUAAUUGUCUCGGUGACGUAGCUAACGCAUUAAGUAUUCCGCCUGGGAAGUACGGUCGCAAGAUUA
rnacentral:rRNA from 1 species